rnacentral:rRNA from 1 species
GACGAACGCUGGCGGCGUGCUUAACACAUGCAAGUCGAGCGGUAAGGCCCUUCGGGUACGACGAGCGGCGAACGGGUGAGUAACACGUGGGUAACCUGCCCUGUACUGUGGGAUAAGCCUGGGAAACUGGGUCUAAUACCGCAUAUGACUUCACUGCGCAUGUGGUGGGGUGGAAAGUUCUGGCGGUACAGGAUGGGCCCGCGGCCUAUCAGCUUGUUGGUGGGGUGAUGGCCUACCAAGGCGACGACGGGUAGCCGGCCUGAGAGGGCGACCGGCCACACUGGGACUGAGACACGGCCCAGACUCCUACGGGAGGCAGCAGUGGGGAAUCUUGCGCAAUGGGCGAAAGCCUGACGCAGCGACGCCGCGUGAGGGAUGACGGCC